GAAUUUUGGACAAUGGGCGAAAGCCUGAUCCAGCCAUGCCGCGUGCGGGAAGAAGGCCUUCGGGUUGUAAACCGCUUCUGUCAGGGAAGAAAUCUUUCGAGCUAAUACCUCGAGAGGAUGACGGUACCUGAAGAAUAAGCACCGGCUAACUACGUGCCAGCAGCCGCGGUAAUACGUGGGGUGCAAGCGUUAAUCGGAAUUACUGGGCGUAAAGCGUGCGCAGGCGGUCGUGCAAGACAGGUGUGAAAUCCCGGGGCUUAACCUGGGAACUGCACUUGUGACUGCACGGCUGGAGUACGGCAGAGGGGGAUGGAAUUCCGCGUGUAGCAGUGAAAUGCGUAGAUAUGCGGAGGAACACCGAUGGCGAAGGCAGUCCCCUGGGCCUGUACUGACGCUCAUGCACGAAAGCGUGGGGAGCAAACAGG
rnacentral:rRNA from 1 species